ensembl:antisense 1600020E01Rik RIKEN cDNA 1600020E01 gene
AAUAAAUAAAAUGCAGGCCUGACACGGGAUUUUUAAAAAACUGAGUAAUGGCAGGCAGCAAGACAAUCCCAGAGAGAUGAAGUGAAUGACCCAAGGUUACACAGGAUGGAACCUAUAUCUUCUGAUUUCUCUACUGGCCUGCACUCCAUGUUCUGAGGAGGAGUCCUUGAAGCUACUGAGAUAAUGGAACAAUGGAGUAGAUAGUCCAUUAUAACUCAUCUGGGAUUCUUCUCAACUUCAAGUGACCACAGGUGGAAACAUGGUCUGGUAACACCACGCUUCCGGAUGUGAUUGUGGAGCUGGAUUGCUUAACCUGGGCUAAGUC